ACGGGUAUCGUUUAGUGGUAAGACUUCUACCUUCCAAGUAGUUAAUAUCAGUUCGAUUCUGAUUAUCCGUA
rnacentral:tRNA from 2 species